rnacentral:rRNA from 1 species
AUUCACGCUGGCGGCGUGCAUAACACAUGCAAGUCGAACGAUGAAACUUUAAUGAACCCUUCGGGGAGAAUUAAAGCGGAUUAGUGGCGAACGGGUGAGUAACGCGUGAGUAACCUGCCUUACACAAGGGGAUAGCCUUUGGAAACGAAGAAUAAUACCCUAUAAAACCAUAAAAGCACAUGCAAUUAUGGUCAAAGUGAUAGCGGUGUAAGAUGGACUUGCGUCUGAUUAGCUAGUUGGUGAGAUAAAAGCCCACCAAGGCAACGAUCAGUAGCCGGCUUGAGAGAGUGUACGGCCACAUUGGGACUGAGACACGGCCCAGACUCCUACGGGAGGCAGCAGUGGGGAAUUUUGCACAAUGGGGGAAACCCUGAUGCAGCGACGCCGCGUGAUUUAGAAGGCCUUCGGGUUGUAAAAAUCUUUUGUAUAGGAAGAAAAUGACAGUACUAUACGAAUAAGGUCCGGCUAAUUACGUG